GAAGCAGGAGGCGAUGGGUUUCUUCAAACCCUAAAAUCCUUACUAAAACUCUCAAAUUGGAGGUGCAAAUCUGGUCCAAAACGAAAAUUCGAGCAUAGAUUACUGAUCCCCAUUGCAAGGGGGUUGUAAGGUGAUAAGUGUGAUGAUGCUAAAUUCGUUCUUAGGUGCUCAAGGAUUAUGGGUGACGAUCAAGCAACUUUUGAAGGACCGAACACAUACUCUUGAAGCUUCCGCAUAAAUCAACUCGGUUUAAACAAUGUUUAUGAUGUAAACUGUUUGCUAAACAACUUUUGAAAUGU
rnacentral:lncRNA from 1 species